rnacentral:lncRNA from 1 species
GACAAAAUAUUUAUAUUACAAUACACAGAGCAUUCAACAAAACAAUAAUAAUAUAAUUUUUUAUGUAAUGUCGUAAUACCCAGAAUGCGCAAAUGAUAAAAUAUGGUUUGUACGUUGGAAUAUGUAAAGUUGAGGACUAAAAGUUGACUUUUAGAUCCGGUGCUCGGAUGGACGAACGGAUGUCAUGGUUGCAUAGAGCUCGUCGAAUCCAUUCCGUUUGAUCACUCAUAUAUCUCGUUUGGAGUUCUGGUAAUGAAGUUAUGGAUGGUUCAAGAUUUCACUCUUAAGCGCAUAGCUACAGUACCCGGGCUGAGCUACAGUCCCAAUAGGAGUCUAACCCGUGGUGUUUUUCCCUUACUUUUUUCCUCCUGAUCAACCCCUCCUAUUCCAAUACCUAGGACCCCUCCCUGCCUUCUCCCUGCACCGCCACCUCCAGUUGCCAUGAACUGAAGAGGAGAUAGGGAGACCAAGAAGAGAAGAAAGGAGAGGUGAAAUUAGGGUACGCCACCGUUCCUCUCCAAAAAUUGGUUGGGCUCCGUUUCCUCUCUCCGUUUUCUCCCAAUUGAUUUUCCUUUCCUCGCUUCAUGAUGGUGCCACCAUGCGGGUUUCAAUUUAGGUGCAAUCGAUGGGGCUGCCGUGAAGUUCGUUGCUAGGGAGAGGAAGAUGACCGGGAGUCAUCGUUGGGAUCGCCGUCGUCACUGUUGCCCACUGUUUUCAUGGGAAAACCCUAGGAAAGGCUUGCCCUCAUUGUAAUCCAUGUUUUUCCUAAGGUUUCAAGAGUUCUAGAACCUGCGUGUAGCGGUACUCGACGCUGUUAAGGGCUAGGGUAAAGUUUUGCCCUCGUCGUUGUUUUUCAGCACAUAGUCAAUCUGCGCAGUUUAGAGUAAUGUCUGUUUUGUGUCCUCUUAAUGGCUUAAAAAAAUAUUAAACCUAUAUAUGAGUUGUAGAAGAUUUGUAGAGGUUGUCAUAGCCGUAAAGAACAGCUCAAUCAGAUUUAAGAGCUGAGAGAUAUUGGAGUUUGAUUGUCAGUUUUUC